rnacentral:lncRNA from 1 species
AUGCUGGACACCAUCCUCCCUUCGCUGCAGGACGUUGGCAGGCACCUGCUGCCCACACUGCCCUCGCUGAGCCAGGAGGAAGUUUCUACUAUUUGGGGAAAUGUGUCAGAAUUUGUGGAACGGCAGCUGUCCUUACACAAGGGAGUUCAGAUUCCGGGACUUGGAACUUUCACUUUCAUGAGACAAAAGCUUGAGGUGGGAAAUAAGAAGUUUUUCCUAAUUCAGAGGCCGGUAUUUGUCAUGGCAGAGAAGUUACUACAGAUGCAUGGACUCAAACAAAACAGAAGGCCUGACACAGUGGACUCAGUGUUGUCUAGCAGAGAGAACUUGGGGAAGCGACCCAACAGCGUGCUUGCAUUUCCAAUUUUAUCACCCAAGACAGCUCAAGAUAGACCAGCUGUCUCUACUGCCAAAGGGACAAAUGCCAGUUUGCCAAAUAAACUGGAGCAGAAUGGGAGUGGUGGGAAGAAUAUGAACCAUGAAAGUGUAUCAUUUCCAGGUGGACUGAAAAAUGAUCAUGCAUUGAAGCCUAAAAUUUCUCCAGGCACUUCUUGCAAGGACCAUCAUAGGGCAGGACAGGAAAUGUGUUACAUAUGCUUGCAACGAGCACAGCGAAAUUCCCCACUGUACUACACCGAGGAGAGGAGGAGGAGAGAGAUGCAAGAUGAGCGAGUCAUCCAGGAGUAUCUCAUGUUGAAAGACCAAGAGACUAUCUUCAAAGAGCAGAUGAGAAGUCUGGCUAGCAGAGAACAGAAUCAAAAGAAUGCCGCCUAUAAUCUUGGAGUUGCUGAAGCUAUAAGAAUCCACAAGAAUGAGAAACCUGAAUUUUAUAAAUCCUUCCUAUUUGAUAAACGGCCACUCAGUCCUGAGAUUAAUGCUUUUAAGCAAGAGGAGUAUUCCCAAAGUCUCUUGAGACAAAUGGAUCACAGACGGAAAAAGGACAUAAAGCAAAGGCAAAACAGAGAGCUGAUGGACCGCCUGGAACAAGUGCAGCUCACAGAGGAACUUGCUGCGCAAAGAGCCAAAUAUAUAAAAGAUAAGAUGGAAGAAACACAGUGUUACAAGAGAGCUCUGGAUGCCCAGAUAAAGAACAGAUGCCCUCAGCUGCCUGUGUUUGAGCCAGACUCUUCUAAGCCCAUCUUUGGUAAGAAUGAGGGUGAGAUGAUGGUGGAAAAGCGAAAGAGAGACCAGAAUUACAUGAAGCAUCAGAUGGAGGCCGCUGCUAACAACAAGAGGAGAGCCAUCCUGCACCAGCUGGUGGACCAAAAGCGGGAUUUGCUGAUGCUUCAGAGGACACACAAAGAGCACUUGGCAGACAGAAAUGCUGAGCUUGAGCGAGUGAACAGAAUCAACCAAAGCUUACAGGAUGACUGGGAAAGGAGUGCUGUCAUGAAGAAGCAUCGAGACUUGGAGGAGAAGGCUUUUGAGCGGGCCUCCGACAAGCUCUUCCUGCUGGACCAAUGUGAGAAGUACCGGCGCUGCAAGCAGUGCCAGAGGCGCACCUCCAACAGGGGCGAGAGCAACCUGUGGCCCCUCAACAAGUACAUGCACGGCUCCCGGUUGUUCGUAUAA